AUUGAACGCUGGCGGCAUGCUUUACACAUGCAAGUCGAACGGUAACAGGGUGCUUGCACCGCUGACGAGUGGCGAACGGGUGAGUAAUGCGUCGGAACGUGCCGAGUAGUGGGGGAUAACGCAUCGAAAGGUGUGCUAAUACCGCAUACGUACUGAGGUAGAAAGUGGGGGACCUUCGGGCCUCACGCUAUUCGAGCGGCCGACGUCUGAUUAGCUAGUUGGUGAGGUAAAGGCUCACCAAGGCGACGAUUAGUAGCGGGUCUGAGAGGAUGGUCCGCCACACUGGGACUGAGACACGGCCCAGACUCCUACGGGAGGCAGCAGUGGGGAAUUUUGGACAAUGGGCGCAAGCCUGAUCCAGCCAUGCCGCGUGUCUGAAGAAGGCCUUCGGGUUGUAAAGGACUUUUGUCCGGGAGCAAAUGCCUGGUGUUAAUAGCACUGGGAGCUGAGAGUACCGGAAGAAUAAGCACCGGCUAACUACGUGCCAGCCGCCGCGGUAAUAC
rnacentral:rRNA from 1 species